GAUGAACGCUGGCGGCGUGCCUAAUACAUGCAAGUCGAACGAGGUUAGACUCGUCUAACCUAGUGGCGAACGGGUGAGUAACACGUAGGUAACCUGCCCUUCAGUUGGGAAUACCUAGAGGAAACUUUAGUUAAUACCGAAUAAUUACGAGGAAGGCAUCUUCCUUUUAUAAAAGCAGCAAUUGCUGCGCUGAUGGAUGGACCUGCGGCGCAUUAGCUAGUUGGUAGGGUAACGGCCUACCAAGGCUCGGAUGCGUAGCCGACCUGAGAGGGUGAUCGGCCACAAUGGGACUGAGACACGGCCCAUACUCCUACGGGAGGCAGCAGUAGGGAGUUUUCGGCAAUGGGGGAAACCCUAACCGAGCAACGCCGCGUGAACGAUGAAGGUCUUCGGAUCGUAAAGUUCUGUUGUAGUUAGGGAAAGUGCGGGAGAGUGGAAAGCUCUCGUUUUGACCCGACUACCAGAAAGCCAACGGCUAACUACGUG
rnacentral:rRNA from 1 species